CCUGCCCUUAGAGGCAUUGCAGGUAUGACUGCUGUGUUUCAUGUGUAUCAGUAGGUGUUAGAGGAGAUUAGGUAUGUCUAUUCUCAGUGUUCCGACCUGUGAAAAAAUGAAUGGUUAGUCGCCUAAUACU
ensembl:snoRNA